rnacentral:lncRNA from 1 species
AAAAUGACAAAGAAGUGCACUACAGCAUUCGACAUUAAAUAAACAGCGGUUCUAUUCGUGUGACAUGUUCUUGGAAGAAAAUUAAAGAAACAGUGACAAAGAAAUGCACUGCUGAUCGUGAAGUACUCUCACGUUAUAAAAAUGUUAGUGUGCAUUUCAUAUACAGUACCAUUCAAAUGGAUCGAUUCGAUACUUUUUUUUUUUCGAUUUCCAUGUUUCUCUGAAUCACUCCGAGUACCGCGUAUUUCACUUCCAAAGUCCCCCAAAGAUUCUCUCCUAAUACCACAUGGCUGUUAAUUGGUUUAUUGCCUAUCGGAUGUACUAAAAAUCAACGACGCAUGACAACAUAAUCGGAUUACCCAGAUAAUUUACAUAUGUACAUUUAACCGAUCUUGAUUGCAUAGGUGUGCUUUAAAAUCACGG